CCACUCGGUUCACCGUUCACACCAUCUCAUUUCUCUGAAGAACAGGAGCUUAACAGCAGCAUAUAUGCAGCUGCUUUCCGGCGUCCUCUGAUUUGCCACGAACAACUGCUGCUUUCUUUGUGUGAUGGAUCUGCCCAAGUUUGUGGCGAAUUUGAUAGGUUUCUUCCGCAGGUUUUUGUUUCGUCAUUUUUUAUGGUUCAUUUGGCAAAAGUUUUGGUCAGAAAGUUGAUAGAAAGAAAAAGAAUUGCCAUGCAAUGCAGGUAUGCGUCGAAUUUUCUCUGGUUCGUUGCUGUAAAUUAG
rnacentral:lncRNA from 1 species